UCUGGCCAGGGCCUCAGUUUCUCAAUCAGUAAGGAAGAGGUGUUAAUAAUGUUAUUAAUCUAUCAACAUUCUUCUUCUCAUGAACUUGGUAUAUUGGUACCUUUUUUCAUAUACGGUGCUUUCGGGAAGUUUCCAGACCCCUUUUCACUUUUCCAAAUUUGGUUACAUUACAGCCUUAUUCUAAAAUUGAUUAAAUAAAACAUUUUUCUUCAUCAAUCUACACACAAUACCCCAUAAUGACAAAGCAAAAGCAGGUUUUUAGAAAUUUUUGCAAAUGUAUACAAAAUGAAAACAAAUACCUUAUUUACUCAAGUAUUCAGACCGAUUGCUAUAAGACUCGAAAUUGAACUCCGGUGCAUCCUGUUUCCAUUGAUCAUCCUUGAGAUGUUUCUUCAACUUGAUGGGAGUCCACCUGUGGUAAAUUCAAUUUAUUGGACAUGAUUUGGAAAGGCACACUUGUCUAUAUAAGGUCCCACAGUUGACAGUGCAUGUCAUAGCAAAAACCAAGCUGUGAGGUCGAAAUAAUUGUAGAUAGAGCUCCGAGACAGGAUUGUGUCGAGGGGGAAGGGAACCAAAACAUUUCUGCAGCAUUGAAUGUCCUCAAGAACACAGUGGCCUCCAUAAUUCUUAAAUGGAAGAAGUUUGGAACCACCAAGACUCCCCCUAGAGCUGGCUGCCCAGCCAAUCUGAGCAAUCUGGGGAGAAGGGCCUUGGUCAGGGAGGUGACCAAUAACCCAAUGGUCACUCUGAAAGUGCUCCGGAGUUCAUCUGUGGAGAUGAGAGAACCUUCCAGAAGGACAACCAUCCCUGCAGCACUCCACCCAUCAGGCCUUUAUGGUAGAGUGGCCAGAUGGAAGCCACUCCUUAGUAAAAGGCACAUGACAGCCCGCUUGGAGUUUGCCAAAAGGAACCUAAAGGACUCUCAGACCAUUAAAAACAAGAUUCUCUUGUCUGAUGAAACCAAGAUUUAAAAAAAAUUGGCCUGAAUGCCAAGCAUCAUGUCUGGAAGUAACCCGGCACCAUCCCUACGGUGAAGCGUGGUGGCAGCAUCAUGUCUGGAGGUAACCCGGCACCAUCCCUACGGUGAAGCGUGGUGGCAGCAUCAUGUCUGGAGGUAACCCGGCACCAUCCCUACGGUGAAGCGUGGUGGCAGCAUCAUGUCUGGAAGUAACCCGGCACCAUCCCUACGGUGAAGCGUGGUGGCAGCAUCAUGUCUGGAGGUAACCCGGCACCAUCCCUACGGUGAAGCGUGGUGGCAGCAUCAUGUCUGGAGGUAACCCGGCACCAUCCCUACGGUGAAGCGUGGUGGCAGCAUCAUGUCUGGAGGUAACCCGGCACCAUCCCUACGGUGAAGCGUGGUGGCAGCAUCAUGUCUGGAGGUAACCCGGCACCAUCCCUACGGUGAAGCGUGGUGGCAGCAUCAUGUCUGGAGGUAACCCGGCACCAUCCCUACGGUGAAGCGUGGUGGCAGCAUCAUGUCUGGAGGUAACCCGGCACCAUCCCUACGGUGAAGCGUGGUGGCAGCAUCAUGUCUGGAGGUAACCCGGCACCAUCCCUACGGUGAAGCGUGGUGGCAGCAUCAUGUCUGGAGGUAACCCGGCACCAUCCCUACGGUGAAGCGUGGUGGCAGCAUCAUGUCUGGAGGUAACCCGGCACCAUCCCUACGGUGAAGCGUGGUGGCAGCAUCAUGUCUGGAGGUAACCCGGCACCAUCCCUACGGUGAAGCGUGGUGGCAGCAUCAUGUCUGGAAGUAACCCGGCACCAUCCCUACGGUGAAGCGUGGUGGCAGCAUCAUGUCUGGAGGUAACCCGGCACCAUCCCUACGGUGAAGCGUGGUGGCAGCAUCAUGUCUGGAGGUAACCCGGCACCAUCCCUACGGUGAAGCGUGGUGGCAGCAUCAUGUCUGGAGGUAACCCGGCACCAUCCCUACGGUGAAACGUGGUGGCAGCAUCAUGCUGUGUGGAUGUUUUUCAGCGGCAGGGACUUGGACACUAGUCAAGAUCGAGGGAAAGAUGAACGGAGCAAAGUACAGAGAGAUCCUUGAUGAAAACCUGCUCCAGAGCAAUCUGGACCACAGGUUGGGGUGAAGGUUCACCUUCCAACAGGACAAUGACACUAAGCACACAGCCAAGGCAACGCAGGAGUGGCUUCGGAUAAGUCUAUGAAUGUCCCUGAGUGACCCAGCCAGAGCCCACACUUGAACCCGAUCAAACAUCUCUGGAGAAACCUGAAAAUAGCUGUGCAGCAACGCUCCACAUCCAACCUGACAGAGCUUGACAGGAUCUGCAGAGAAGAAUGGGAGAAACUCCGCAAAUACAGGUGUGUCAAGCUUGUAGCGUCAUAUCUAAGAAGACUUGAGGCUGUAAUUGCUGCCAAAAGUGCUUCAGCAAAGUACUGAGUAAAAGGUCUGAAUACUUGUAAAUUUGGUAUUUCAGUUUUUUUGCUGUCUUUAUGGGGUGUUGCGUGCAUAUGAGGGAGAAAAAAACAAUUUAACAAUUUAAUAAUAAGGCUGUAACGUAACAAAAUGUGGAAAAAGUCAAGGGGUCUGAAUACUUUCCAAAUGCACUGUAUAUGUACAGUUGGAGGUAAAAAGGUCUUAUAUCCCCUCUGACCACUGUGUUGACUGU